rnacentral:rRNA from 1 species
AACGAACGCUGGCGGCAGGCUUAACACACGCAAGUCGAACGCCCCGCAAGGGGAGUGGCAGACGGGUGAGUAACGCGUGGGAACAUACCCUUUUCUACGGAAUAGCUCUGGGAAACUGGAAUUAAUACCGUAUACGCCCUACGGGGGAAAGAUUUAUCGGGGAAGGAUUGGCCCGCGUUGGAUUAGCUAGUUGGAGGGGUAAAGGCCUACCAAGGCGACGAUCAGUAGCUGGUCUGAGAGGAUGAUCAGCCACAUUGGGACUGAGACACGGCCCCAUCUGCGAAGGGAGGCAGCAGGGGGGAAUCUGGCAGAAUGGGCGAGAGCUUCGCUCAGCCAUGCAGCGCAAAUGAUGAGAGCCUUAGGAUUGUAAAAGUCUUUCACCGAGGCCGAUAAUGGCGGUACCCGGCAAACGAGUCCCGACUAAGUUCGUGCCAGCGGCCGCCGUAACAC